GAAUAACUCAGGGAAACUUGAGCUAAUACCGGAUACGCCCUUUUGGGGAAAGGCUUGACUGCCGAAGGAUCGGCCCGCGUCUGAUUAGCUAGUUGGUGAGGUUACGGCUCACCAAGGCGACGAUCAGUAGCUGGUCUGAGAGGAUGAUCAGCCACACUGGGACUGAGACACGGCCCAGACUCCUACGGGAGGCAGCAGUGGGGAAUAUUGGACAAUGGGGGCAACCCUGAUCCAGCCAUGCCGCGUGAGUGAUGACGGCCUUAGGGUUGUAAAGCUCUUUUCUCCGGGACGAUAAUGACGGUACCGGAGGAAUAAGCCCCGGCUAACUUCGUGCCAGCAGCCGCGGUAAUACGAAGGGGGCUAGCGUUGCUCGGAAUCACUGGGCGUAAAGGGCGCGUAGGCGGCUGAUUUAGUCGAGGGUGAAAGCCUGUGGCUCAACCACAGAAUUGCCUUCGAUACUGGUUGGCUUGAGACCGGAAGAGGACAGCGGAACUGCGAGUGUAGAGGUGAAAUUCGUAGAUAUUCGCAAGAACACCAGUGGCGAAGGCGGCUGUCUGGUCCAGGUUCUGACGCUGAGGCGCGAAAGCGUGGGGAGCAAACAGGAUUAGAUACACUGGUAGUCCACGC
rnacentral:rRNA from 1 species